rnacentral:rRNA from 1 species
GACGAACCGUGCGAACGUUGUUCGGAUUCACUGGGCUUAAAGGGCGCGUAGGCGGCUUGCCAAGUCUGGUGUGAAAUCUCAGGGCUCAACCCUGAAACUGCACUCGAUACUGCUCUGCUUGAGGACUGGAGAGGAGACUGGAAUUCACGGUGUAGCAGUGAAAUGCGUAGAUAUCGUGAGGAAGACCAGUGGCGAAGGCGGGUCUCUGGACAGUUCCUGACGCUGAGGCACGAAGGCCAGGGGAGCAAACGGGG